rnacentral:rRNA from 1 species
UAGGGAAUCUUCCGCAAUGGGCGAAAGCCUGACGGAGCAACGCCGCGUGAGUGAUGAAGGUCUUCGGAUCGUAAAACUCUGUUAUUAGGGAAGAACAAAUGUGUAAGUAACUAUGCACGUCUUGACGGUACCUAAUCAGAAAGCCACGGCUAACUACGUGCCAGCAGCCGCGGUAAUACGUAGGUGGCAAGCGUUAUCCGGAAUUAUUGGGCGUAAAGCGCGCGUAGGCGGUUUUUUAAGUCUGAUGUGAAAGCCCACGGCUCAACCGUGGAGGGUCAUUGGAACCUGGAAAACUUGAGUGCAGAAGAGGAAAGUGGAAUUCCAUGUGUAGCGGUGAAAUGCGCAGAGAUAUGGAGGAACACCAGUGGCGAAGGCGACUUUCUGGUCUGUAACUGACGCUGAUGUGCGAAAGCGUGGGGAUCAAACAGG